rnacentral:rRNA from 1 species
GGGUUGUGAGGUUAAGCGACUAAGCGUACACGGUGGAUGCCCUGGCAGUCAGAGGCGAUGAAGGACGUGCUAAUCUGCGAUAAGCGCCGGUAAGGUGAUAUGAACCGUUAUAACCGGCGAUUUCCGAAUGGGGAAACCCAGUGUGACUCGUCACACUAUCAUUAACUGAAUCCAUAGGUUAAUGAGGCGAACCGGGGGAACUGAAACAUCUAAGUACCCCGAGGAAAAGAAAUCAACCGAGAUUCCCCCAGUAGCGGCGAGCGAACGGGGAGGAGCCCAGAGCCUGAAUCAGCAUGUGUGUUAGUGGAAGCGUCUGGAAAGGCGCGCGAUACAGGGUGACAGCCCCGUACACAAAAGCGCAUGUGUUGUGAGCUCGAUGAGUAGGGCGGGACACGUGGUAUCCUGUCUGAAUAUGGGGGGACCAUCCUCCAAGGCUAAAUACUCCUGACUGACCGAUAGUGAACCAGUACCGUGAGGGAAAGGCGAAAAGAACCCCGGCGAGGGGAGUGAAAAAGAACCUGAAACCGUGUACGUACAAGCAGUGGGAGCCCCACCACUAAGCCAGUGGUGAACUCCACAUACGCAUCCUUUGCUGAAGGUGCGGUUAACGGAGCGCAAGCGACGUUCAACCUCAAAAGAAGCAGAGGGGGCUUAGUGGUGGGGUGACUGCGUACCUUUUGUAUAAUGGGUCAGCGACUUAUAUUCUGUAGCAAGGUUAACCGCAUAGGGGAGCCGGAGGGAAACC